UCAGGUGGUCUUUAGCCAGCAAGACAUGCUGCUAAUUUAUUACAGGUGCACAGACAUAUCAAGUAUCGCACCUGUGCACCAACUGUGCUGCAAUGCAUGCAGAAAACAACGCGCUGCGACUACGGGUGGCAAAGCUGGAGCGUCAAAAUGGUGUGCUUCAGAAGAAACCGGCAAGCAUGGUGAUGUCGUUUACGACAUCAACUGAGGGAAACUCUUUUCUUCUCACGGUUACUUUACAGGACUGUCAAAAGCCCAUUUUUUGGCAAUCCUCACCACAGUUAUCCCAGUCAUUCCCACACCACGAUCAACCUUUUCGUAUCCCUGGCUCUUCAUGGCCCUGGUUCUUCAUGGUUCUCAUGAAGCUCAGGCUGCACACACCGUUCCAGGACCUAGCAUAUCGCUUCCAUGUUACACCCAAGACUUUACGGAAGGCUUUCGAUGUAUGGCUCAGACACCCCUCACAGAUAGCAAAAGAGCUAGUGGCUUUCCCCCGGAAGUUGCAAGAAGCUGGGUCACGGAUAAAGACACUCUCCACUUUCCAAGGCUGCAAUGCAUCAUCGAUUGCAGUGAAGUGUGUAUUGCAAGACCAACAAACUUGGAGACGCAGUAGGAAACCUGGAGCAAUUACAAGCAACAUUGCACGUUGAAAUACCUGGUAUUUGUGAACCCCCUCGAAGCAGUAUGUUUCAUAUCACACGCCUGUGGAGGGAGAAUUUCGGACCGGCAACUGGUUCUGCGGAGUGGGCUGUUAGACUUGCUACAAGAAGGAGAUCAAGUUCUUGCCGACAGGGGAUUCCUCCUCCAUGAGGAGUUCUUCUCACGGAACAUACAGCUUGUUACAUCAAGCUUCUCACGGGGAAUGAAACAACUUCCACAUGAGCUGGUGUGCCGAUCCAGAAGAGUGUCAUCCUCAAGAAGAACUGUGGAACGUGCAAUUGGACACAUCAAGAAGUCGAGGGUGAUGACUGGUACAUUGCCGCACUUCUUGCGCAAGGAUUAUAGUAAUAACCUUACUGUUGUUGCUGACCUGACAAAUAUGAUGACACCAUUGGUGAAAGUAUGA